rnacentral:lncRNA from 1 species
GCCCCUAUUGCUUCCCCCGUUCCGCGGCCCCUGAUCACAACAAGUAUUGACACACAAAACGUUCACAUCAAAUCAAAGGAAAACCAACAAAGCCUUUUUAUUUUUAAUACUAGCUACUUGGUCAUAUUUCGGACGGCGUGCUUCAUAUAUGAACUGCGAAAAUUUAUAGCGUCUUCAUCAAUUUCGGCAAAUCAAAUUUCGACUAGAAAUAUAUAUGCAUGCAGCAACCCUCGCCCUUUUUUGACAGAACAUCUGCAACUCGAGAACAUUGUAUCAAUAUAAGCAUUUAAUCAUAUUUUUUUGUGCUAAAUGGCAAAAAUAAAGGGAAUGGCACUUCACUAUGGAUAUAUCAAUUUCAGAGUCUAAAAACAAUUUGAAUGCUUCAUGAAAAUUUAACGUGAAAUUCUUUAUGGGUAAAACGUUUCAAAAAUGUUCAGAAACUGUUCUAGAAAUAUUUUUGGCACUGGCCAUGCCACUGUAUUUGAAUUUGAUUGAACUACUUUUAGUCAAUGAACAAUUUUACUACAUGCAGUUUUUCAGCUUUUAGUUUCGUGAAAUAUAGUUUUUUUCGAUAUUAGUAAUUUAUAUAUUAAAGCCUUUUAUAAUA